CCAACUUUGUCAGAUGCGCUGUCCUUGGAAGCUGACUGAGUGGGUGAAACUGGAUUUUUCAAUCUGCCGAGGAAACAGUCAAUCGCUUUUCUGAAUGCAGCCAUCUUAAUCAGUUUGUUUCAAUAUUCAUUAUCGCGUAUUCUCUGCAACGCCAUCCCACAGGUUUCUUAGUGAAAUCUGGAAACACCUAAACAUCCAGAGUCCCAUUGCCAUAAUCAUUCAGGUCUCCCCUCUUCCAUCACAGCGCCUCUCGCCACUGACUCUCAGAGGUUGUAUUAUAGACUUCGAGCCUGACGUCAGGUUUCUAUCUGCCAGCUCAAGACAGGUGAAGACAACGCUGGGGAGUCAUAUGAACCUUCAGUGGAACAUUAUAGGAGUCUGAAGGACGUGGACGAUGGGGAUUCUCAUCAAGAAGUCAGCCUGAAUGACAAAUUGGCUCCAGUCAAGGAAGGAGAAUUCAGGCUGUAGAAUCAGGCCCCUUUUGAAUGAAAUCACGCUACAGAAGAUUACUAUGGGGAUACAUGGGAUCCACUAUAAAAGUGCUCAGCUGAUGUCUGGACAAUGUACACAAGUGCUAUUAGCCACCAUUGUGGAAGUGUCGCUGGGUCAAAAUCCUGGAUCUCUCACCCUAAUGGCAUUGUGAAUCUACCCUAACCAAAUGGACUGCUGCACUUCAAGAAAGAAGCUCACCAGAACCUUCUCAAGGGUUAAUAGGGAUGGACAAAAAUACUGACUCAGCCAACAGCACCCACAUCCCAUGAAUGAAGAAUAAAAUAAAGAUCCUUCAGAAAUAUUGAAAUCCCCUGCCAUAGUAUGCUGCACGAUAUAUCU